GAGGUGGCAAGCGUUGUUCGGAAUUACUGGGCGUAAAGGGCGCGUAGGCGGCCAUCUAAGUCAGACGUGAAAUCCCCCGGCUUAACCUGGGAACUGCGUCUGAUACUGGACGGCUUGAGUAUGGGAGAGGGAUGUGGAAUUCCAGGUGUAGCGGUGAAAUGCGUAGAUAUCUGGAGGAAUACCGGUGGCGAAGGCGGCAUCCUGGACCAUUACUGACGCUGAGGCGCGAAAGCUAGGGGAGCAAACGGGAUUAGAUACCCCGGUAGUCCUAGCCCUAAACGAUGAAUGCUUGGUGUGGCGGGUAUCGAUCCCUGCCGUGCCGAAGCUAACGCAUUAAGCAUUCCGCCUGGGGAGUACGGUCGCAAGGCUG
rnacentral:rRNA from 1 species